rnacentral:rRNA from 1 species
GAUGAACGCUGGCGGCGUGCCUAACACAUGCAAGUCGAGCGAAGCAUUUUAAAGGAAGUUUUCGGAUGGAAUUUGAAAUGACUGAGCGGCGGACGGGUGAGUAACGCGUGGGUAACCUGCCUCAUACAGGGGGAUAACAGUUAGAAAUGACUGCUAAUACCGCAUAAGCACACAGUACCGCAUGGUACAGUGUGAAAAACUCCGGUGGUAUGAGAUGGACCCGCGUCUGAUUAGCUGGUUGGCGGGGUAACGGCCCACCAAGGCGACGAUCAGUAGCCGACCUGAGAGGGUGACCGGCCACAUUGGGACUGAGACACGGCCCAAACUCCUACGGGAGGCAGCAGUGGGGAAUAUUGCACAAUGGGGGAAACCCUGAUGCAGCAACGCCGCGUGAGUGAAGAAGUAUUUCGGUAUGUAAAGCUCUAUCAGCAGGGAAGAAAGUGACGGUACCUGACUAAGAAGCCC